GCAUAUCAAUAAGCGGAGGAAAAGAAACCAAUAGGGAUUGCCCCAGUAGCGGCGAGUGAAGCGGCAAGAGCUCAGAUUUGAAAUCGUGUUUCGGCACGAGUUGUAGAGUGUAGGCGGGAGUCUCUGUGGAGCGCGGUGUCCAAGUCCCUUGGAACAGGGUGCCUGAGAGGGUGAGAGCCCCGUAGGGUGCUGCGCGAAGCUUUUGAGGCCCUGCUGACGAGUCGAGUUGUUUGGGAAUGCAGCUCCAAGCGGGUGGUAAAUUCCAUCUAAGGCUAAAUAUUGGCGAGAGACCGAUAGCGAACAAGUACUGUGAAGGAAAGAUGAAAAGCACUUUGAAAAGAGAGUGAAACAGCACGUGAAAUUGUUGAAAGGGAAGGGUAUUGGGCUCGACAUGGGGGGUGCGCACCGCUGUCUCUUGUAGGCGGCGCUCUGGGCGCCCUCUGGGCCAGCAUCGGUUCCUGCUGCGGGAGAAGGGGCUCCGGAAAGUGGCUCUUCGGAGUGUUAUAGCCGGGGCCAGAUGCCGCGUGUGGGGACCGAGGACUGCGGCUUCUGUCUCGGAUGCUGGCAUAACGGCGCAAUACCGCCCGUCUU
rnacentral:rRNA from 1 species